UUAGUGGCGGACGGGUGAGUAACGCGUGGGUAACCUGCCUUACACAGGGGGAUAACACUUAGAAAUAGGUGCUAAAACCGCAUAAGCGCACAGCUUCGCAUGAAGCGGUGUGAAAAACUCCGGUGGUGUAAGAUGGACCCGCGUCUGAUUAGCUUGUUGGCGGGGUAACGGCCCACCAAGGCGACGAUCAGUAGCCGGCCUGAGAGGACGGACGGCCACAUUGGGACUGAGACACGGCCCAGACUCCUACGGGAGGCAGCAG
rnacentral:rRNA from 1 species